rnacentral:rRNA from 1 species
UACGGGGGGUGCGAGCGUUGUCCGGAAUCACUGGGCGUAAAGGCGCGUAGGUGGUCUUAUAAGGGUGUGGUGAAAGCCCCGGGCUCAACCCCGGGUCGGCCGUGCCGACUGUAAGACUAGAGUGCUGUAGGGGCAGGCGGAAUUCCGGGUGUAGCGGUGGAAUGCGUAGAGAUCCGGAGGAAGACCGGUGGCGAAGGCGGCCAGCUGGCCUCUGA